rnacentral:rRNA from 1 species
AUUGAACGCUGGCGGCAGGCCUAACACAUGCAAGUCGAGCGGAUGAAGGGAGCUUGCUCCUGGAUUCAGCGGCGGACGGGUGAGUAAUGCCUAGGAAUCUGCCUGGUAGUGGGGGAUAACGUCCGGAAACGGGCGCUAAUACCGCAUACGUCCUGAGGGAGAAAGUGGGGGAUCUUCGGACCUCACGCUAUCAGAUGAGCCUAGGUCGGAUUAGCUAGUUGUGGGGUAAAGGCCUACCGAGGCGACGAUCCGUAACUGGUCUGAGAGGAUGAUCAGUCACACUGGAACUGAGACACGGUCCAGACUCCUACGGGAGGCAGCAGUGGGGAAUAUUGGACAAUGGGCGAAAGCCUGAUCCAGCCAUGCCGCGUGUGUGAAGAAGGUCUUCGGAUUGUAAAGCACUUUAAGUUGGGAGGAAGGGCAGUAAGUUAAUACCUUGCUGUUUUGACGUUACCAACAGAAUAAGCACCGGCUAACUUCGUG